GCGUCCCGCGGUGUCCGGUGGUGUCUUUCCCGAGCGGAGGGCUCGCACUGCGGGGAUCCCGGCGAGCGGGAGCGGGUGAGUCCUGGGGAUCCUCCCCGCCAGCGCCGUGCGACGAGGCUUUGGGACAGCGCAAGGCCCAAAGAGGCAAUAUGGAGAAUGUCAUUGCUGCCGAAAAUCUGGCAAAAGUCUCACAGAACAGCCCCGCUUUUUCAAAGCCUGGUAUUCUUCUGUCCCAUCACAAGGAAUAACAGUGAGUGAGCUGCAUUCCUCUGCACGUGUGUAUGUGCGUGCUUAUGGACGAGUUGAUGUUGUGCCACGGUUGUUGUGUGAAAGCUCCGUUGAAGGCAACGGCCGCGUGGAACGUGUGCAGGCUGGCGGAUGCGGUCCCUCAGAAAGCGGUUGGAUCCCUGAUGAGCCUGUAGAGGCCCCUCAAGGCCCCACAAAGAUUUGGAAAUGCCUCAGCUUCUUUUUGUGACCAAUCUCAGCAGCGUCACCCUUUCUGGUUGACACCUUCCAAUCUCCUGUGCUGUUGGAGACUGAAGCUGGAGCUGCUCAAAGGAUCAGUCCUUUGAAGUGUUAAUGUCCCUCUUCUCGGUGCUGCGUGGGAAGCGAAUUCCCCUCCUUCAGCUGCCUGUGCCCAGCCUGGAUGCGUGGUCUCACCUGGACCAUCUCAAGGUUGCGUUGCUGUCACCUUCACUGUGUGACUGGGAAGAGUGUGUCUGUAUCAGGGGACACUUUGGCCUCUUCUGCCCAGGCCCAGGGAAGCUGGAGGAACCCUGUGGAAACCAGCGUUGUCUGCAUUAAAGCUUUUGAUCGGUUGCCAAGUGCUGUACG